CGGUAAUUCCAGCUCCAAUAGCGUAUACUAAUGUUGUUGCAGUUAAAAAGCUCGUAGUCGGAUUUCAGUAGGCUCAGUUUAGUCUUCAUUGUAAGAUCUAUAUGGGCCUGCUUCUUUGACAGAAACUUCUAUGUUAUUCAUUUAGCGUGGGUAGCGACUGUCUCUUUUACUUUGAGAAAAUUAGAGUGUUCAAAGCAGGUAGAUGCCUGAAUAUUACUCUUGGAAUAAUGCUAUAAGACUUUGGUUCUAAUGUAUUGGUGAUUGGGACCAGAGUAAUGAUUGAUAGGGACGGUUGGGGUCUUACGUACUGCAAAGCGAGAGGUGAAAUUCUUGGACCUUUGUAUGACGAACAACUGCGAAAGCAUUGGACUAGGACGUUCCCGUUGAUCAAGAACGAAAGUUGGGGGAUCGAAGACGAUCAGAUACCGUCGUAGUCUCAACCAUAAACUAUGCCAGCUAGGGAUCGGAGGAAGUUAUUGUUUCGACUCCUUCGGCACCUUAUGAGAAAUCAAAGCAUUUGGGUUCCGGGGGGAGUAUGGUCGCAAGGCUGAAACUUAAAGGAAUUGACGGGAGGGCACCACCAGGAGUGGAGCCUGUGGCUUAAUUUGACUCAACACGGGAAAACUUACCAGGUCCGGACAUAGUAAGGAUUGACAGAUUGAAAGCUCUUUCUUGAUUCUAUGGGUGGUGGUGCAUGGCCGUUCUUAGUUGGUGGAGUGAUUUGUCAGGUUAAUUCCGUUAACGAACGAGACCUCAGCAUACUAAAUAGUGUCAUUUUCUUCAGAAGAUGUUCACUUAUUAGAGGGACUACAUGCGAACCAACCAAACCGAAGCGCGAGGCCAUAUCAGGUCUGUCAUGCCAUUAGAUGUUCUGGGCCGCACAUGGGCUACACCGGUGCACUCACCAAACAUCAUAACCUUAACGCGAAGGGGUAGGGUAAUCUUUGAAACCGCACCGGGCAUGGGAUAGACCAAUGCAAUUUUUAGUCUUCAAGCGAGGAAUUCAUAGUACAACUCAACUCAUCACCUUGCAUUGAUUACCGUGCCCU
rnacentral:rRNA from 1 species